GGAGGGCUGGCGGAGCGGUCUAACGCACUUGAUUUGAAAUCAAGCGUCCUCACGGACCGGGGGUUCAAAUCCCUCGCCCUCCG
rnacentral:tRNA from 1 species